UACGUAGGGGGCGAGCGUUGUCCGGAUUCAUUGGGCGUAAAGCGCGCGUAGGCGGCCCCGCAAGUCGGCCGUGAAAUCUCCGGGCUCAACUCGGAGGGGUCGGGCGAGACUGCGAGGCUCGAGGUGGGCAGAGGGCAGUGGAAUUCCGGGUGUAGUGGUGGAAUGCGUAGAGAUCCGGAGGAACACCAGUGGCGAAGGCGGCUGCCUGGGCCUGGCCUGACGCUGAGACGCGAAAGCGUGGGGAGCAAACAGG
rnacentral:rRNA from 1 species